rnacentral:rRNA from 1 species
AUGCAAGUCGAACGGUAACAUUUCUAGCUUGCUAGAAGAUGACGAGUGGCGGACGGGUGAGUAAUGCUUGGGAACUUGCCUUUGCGAGGGGGAUAACAGUUGGAAACGACUGCUAAUACCGCAUAAUGUCUUCGGACCAAACGGGGCUUCGGCUCCGGCGCAAAGAGAGGCCCAAGUGAGAUUAGCUAGUUGGUAAGGUAACGGCUUACCAAGGCGACGAUCUCUAGCUGUUCUGAGAGGAAGAUCAGCCACACUGGGACUGAGACACGGCCCAGACUCCUACGGGAGGCAGCAGUGGGGAAUAUUGCACAAUGGGGGAAACCCUGAUGCAGCCAUGCCGCGUGUGUGAAGAAGGCCUUCGGGUUGUAAAGCACUUUCAGUUGUGAGGAAAAGUUAGUAGUUAAUACCUGCUAGCCGUGACGUUAACAACAGAAGAAGCA